rnacentral:rRNA from 1 species
UACGUAGGGUGCGAGCGUGUCCGGAAUUAUUGGGCGUAAAGAGCUCGUAGGCGGUUUGUCGCGUCUGCUGUGAAAACUGGAGGCUCAACCUCCAGCCUGCAGUGGGUACGGGCAAACUAGAGUGCGGUAGGGGAGAUUGGAAUUCCUGGUGUAGCGGUGGAAUGCGCAGAUAUCAGGAGGAACACCGAUGGCGAAGGCAGAUCUCUGGGCCGUAACUGACGCUGAGGCGCGAAAGCUAGGGGAGCAAACGGG